AUGGUUUCCCCCGAAUUACUUUCUUUGCUCUCUAGAGAUGAGUCGCUGGAUAUCGGGCAGUUCCCUGGAUUACCAGUCAGGACGAGUUUAGAAGAAUCUGCGUCUUUUACUGCGUGCAGAGUCGGGUUUAGGAGAGAAGACGAGUUUUUUGAGGAUGGAGAUGUACAUCGCCAUUUGUACCUCCAAAAUAUAUUGACUGGAAUUGGAGAAGUGGAAGCAAGGUCCAGGGUGUCAGAAUUUCCUUGCCAAGUAGCAGACUGUGCGCAGCUCUUUGACACAUUGGAGUCCUUUGAACAUCACUACAACACUCUGCAUAGAAAUGUUUGUUCCACAUGCAAAAGAUCUUUUCCAUCGGUCAGGCUUUUGGACAUACACAUUCUUGAAUGGCAUGACUCGCUCUUCCAGAUUAUGGCGGAAAAGACCAGUAUGUUCCAGUGUUUGGUGGAGGGAUGUAUGGAGAAAUUUGAAACUAGUGGCAAGCGGAAAAAUCAUUUAAUCAAAGCCCACCUCUAUCCAUCUGACUUUCGGUUUGGCAUGCCUAAGAAAAAUAAAAGCAAAACCAAGCAAGAGUGUUGCAAAAAUCAGUCUAUGGACAUAAUGCCUGAAGAGUCAUCACUGGUAGAAUCAAUGGAGAUUAGUGUUUUAUCUACAGGUGACCAUAGUUCUUCACAUGCAUCAGUGUCUUCAAUGCCACAUAACAAACCCAGGUGAUAUUUCAGGAUAUGCAGCCCUGUGUGUGUGUGUACAUGAAGAGCAGCACUAUUACUGAUGAUUAUAUAACUUUGUUCUAUUCUUUAGAUGAUUUCUGCUUCACAGACUUGAGCUCUAAUUUGCAGUUCUCUUAGAGCUGAUGGGCAGACAUUUAUUGACUUUUCUUGAAGGCACAGGACUAUGCUGAAUUUCUGAGUGGAAUACGGUCUCAAAGGCGAGGGGGGAGAGCGAAGAAGCUUGAUAACACAAAGUGUUUUUGUCUAAUAUAUGUUGCAAAGUUUCUUAUAUUUACUUAUUUAUGCAAAGUUUGUUGAAAUUACAGUGCCUAUUUAAUACUUGUCAAAAGGCUUAAUAGGUUGUGGUCUGAGUAUCGAUUUCAAUAAUGAGCCUGAAGAAGCAUUCGGCUUGGUACCUCUUUCCUGGCUCACAGCCAUCUCAGUCUCACAGCAGGAGAUAUGCUCCAUAGGCUUAUAAUAGAGUAUGUCACUUAAGUGAGAUGGAAAAGGCAGUGAGUCAGGUAGUGAAGCGAUUAGUUGGGUGAUUCUUCAGGCUUGUUUUUUUUUUCUUUUGAAAAGAACAGAACGAGAGGCCGUCAACAUCCGGGGGUCAGUCCCCUUCACAUACAAUUUAAAAUAUGAAACGUAAUAUAAAAAGUGCAAAAAUGACAAACUUGAUAACAAAAAGAGCAACAGAGAAUUGGCAAAUGAAAAUGCACAACAUAUAGUAAAAUCAGAUGAUAGUAGUGUGAAAGCAUGUUGAGUGCUGGGAUUAAUUUUGAGGUAGUUUCUGCCCUUAUGAGGGCCUCAUAGGCUGUUGGGGCUAAGGGAGAUGCCCAGUGACAGAGGCAUACUGCCCUGCUACUUCUGGAGGUGAAGAGAAGGAAAAGCCACACUGGAAAGGAUUAACUUGACAGGCUAUCUGUGCGGGAUACGGGGAAGCAGCCUCCAGCCACGCUGGGGGAGCACACACUGCCGGAGUCAUGGCUGAGGGCCCUUAUGCUGUGAAAGCACUUACUGUGGCAUUCAAGGCUUAGAAAGAGCUGCUGUGAAGGACAUCUGUCCAGCUGUGCUGGAGAGGUCACUGAGCCACCAAUACCGCUGUGGAAGCCAUCUUUGAAUGCUACCUUGACAGACUUCAGACUGCGGUGUCUAGAAGGAGCAACAGAUACCAGGUGGGUCACAGGACAUGGUGUAGACUGUACUGAAGCCCUGCGGUGUUGAGGCAUCCCUCGGAGAGCUGUGAAUGGGGGGUGCCUUCUACAAUCUGCUUUGGACGUGGAUCUAUGAGAGGAUUCAGGCAUGCAAAGAAAAAGAAAUGAUCAUAGUAUUGAACAAUGAAAACUGAAACUAACUCUGGCUAUAUGUCUAUAUCUAAUAAUCUAUCUAACCUUACAAUGGCUGUAGAAUAUCAGACAUAAGUAGUUUUUUUAACUGCAACCACAAGAUACAGACUUUGUCAACUAACUACCACUUUAUAUGUAUUUGUUACAUAACUGAAUGUAAUAAGUAAGAAAUUGUCAUAAAAUGUUGAAUAAAUGAAUCUAGUAUUUCA